rnacentral:tRNA from 1 species
ACAUUGUUGGUUCAGUGGUAGAAUUCUUGCUUUCCAUGAGGAAGACCCGGGUUCAAUUCCUGGCCAAUGUA